rnacentral:rRNA from 1 species
GACGAACGCUGGCGGCGUGCCUAAUACAUGCAAGUAGAACGCAGUUGCGAACGGGUGAGUAAAGCGACGGUAACUGCCUGGUAGCGGGGGAUAACUAUUGGAAACGAUAACUAAUACCGCAUACUAACAGAUGGACCUGCGUUGUAUUAGCUAGUUGGUGAGGUAACGGGUCACAAAGGCAACGAUACAUCGCCGACCUGAGAUGGGGAUCGGGCACACUUGGACGGAGCAACGGCCCAGACUCCUACGGUAGGCAGCAGUAGGGAAUCUUCGGCAAUUGGGGGAACCCUGACCGAGCAACGCCGCGUGAGUGAAGAAGGUUUUCGGAUCGUAAAGCUCUGUUGUUAAGGAAGCGGUACUUAACCAGAAAGGGACGGCUAACUACGUGCCAGCAGCCGCGGUAAUUC